UUGUUUUUUGUAAGCUUUCACUUUCAAACGGUGCAGGAGUCAGAGAAGAGUGGAUUCUCCUUUUGGGAGCACUUAGAGGGGGCUCAGGACUCUGUUUUGGCUCAGACCCCUGUAACCUGUUCAGGUUCUGCUUCCCCACUCAUCUGGGAACCACCUGCCUCUCAGCCAAGAAGACUCUAUGGCACCCAACGUUGGAUUUGGAAGCAGGGUUUGGGGCUCAGAGCAGCUAACUGCAGGUGCAAUCUCUGGGAGCAGAUUUGGGGUCUGCUGAGAUCUCACAUUACUGAGUUAGAGACAUUCCAGAUGUCUCAGCUUUUUAAGCAGAUAAGUUGGUUCUGAAGAUGCUUUUGCCAAUAAAAGGAAAGGUAGGAGCAGCUGGCUUUGAGGAAGUGGCUGAGAUUGUGGUGAGGGUGGUGGUGCUGGGUCAUAAUGAGGCUCUGAGAAGACCCAGGACAAAUACAGUGAUGCCUGCACUUCAUUCACUUACUGACAUUUGUGUAGCACUACAUCCUUGUAUCUUGGGGUGAGAUACCGUUACUAUCCCCAUUUGACAUUGAGAAACUGAGGCAGAACAGGUCAAGAAACUAGCCUAAGGUGGUUGCCUAGAGAGAUCUGAAUCUGGCCACUAGAGAAGUCAGCAGUCACCUCCAGAAUCUGUUCUUCUCAGUACCAUUUGCUGCCAGAUCCCCACUCCACUCAGCAGUAGGUGGUCUGAAGCCCUUUUUUGUCUGACCAGGAUGCAUUUUAUCGUUUCUGUGCUCUCUCUCUCCUGGGAUCCUCUCUCUUUUUUUUUUUUUUUAAGUAGGCUUCACACGCCGUGCCAACGUGGGGCUUGAACUCAUGACUUGAGAUCAAGACCUGAGCUGCAAUUAAGGGUCAUAUAUUUAACCAACUAAGCAACCCAGACAGCCCCCUCCUGGAUUCCUUUGUCCUGAGGCAGAAACUCCUCAGAGAUAUAGAGGAUGAGGAUCAACUUUUCAUGGGGAAUUGAUGGAGCCCUCUGUUGGGAGUAAGGCCAGGUCCUUUGUCCUGAGCAGCAACAGGCUGGGGGGAGCUGGGAGCUGAAAUUUGGGUGAACUCAAUAAGCAAACGGCCUCAAUACAGGAUGCGUGUGGUGGGAACCACAAUGUCCUUGAGGAGGAUGUUGUCUGACACUCAUGCUUCUCAGUGGUUCCUGGUCAUAAUUAGGGGGCAGGAGAAGAACAGCACACAGGACCUGGCAGGUCCUUCAUGGGCAGGGGCCUGAGUCUGGGCCUGUGUCCCUGGGCAUCUCUGGUGGUCUGCGACUCAUACAGACUUGGAGGAGGCCCUGUGCUAAGGCAGGAGGGUUCUGGUCCUAUGAGCAGAGCAGUCUGCGAAAGCUUUCUGAGGGACUGGGAGGGAUUUCUUGGUACCAGGGUUGUGGGGGUUCCCAGCCCCAUCAGCAUAAUGACUAGUAGCAAAAACUCUUCUUGUUCUGGUUAUUGUUAUCAACCCUUAGCCCUUCUGUCUGUUCUGAGGCCCAGAGCUGUGGGCUGGCCCUCCUCAUCUCUGUAGGUGUUCUCCUGCCUCCUGCCCUGUGUCUCCCCAGCCCUGAGGAAAUGGAGGAUUGCCGCAGAGGCGCUUUGCUGUCCUGUCUCACCUCCCUGCUUCUCCCCUUCCAGCUGUCUGCUGGGGGUCUGCAGGCGUGGGCUCUGUCCCCAAAGUACACGUCACCGGGCCAGAGAGGGACAGGGUUUCAGUGCACAGCCUUGGAGUGGCUCCCAAAGCCCCACGUGCAGUGGAGGUCCCUCAGUAGGGAGAGGUUCCUGGCAUUCUCAGAGACCCAUGCCCAAGAUGCUAAGGGCUGUUCAGUGUGGAGGCUGCCUGGUGGUGAGUGACAGGUCUCCAGGCCAUAUGACCUGCUCAGUGCUUAGCCUCAUCUGACCUGCCCACCAUAUUGCCAGCUGUUUUGCCUUCAAUGCAACUAGUUCUCAGUCAGCACCUGGAAGCCACAAACCAGGUAUACUUACGUUGAAACCUUGCCGUUGUGCUUCACCAUUCUGCUCUUUGCAGCUUCAUUCCCCCUUUCUGCUUUUUGUUUUAAUUACUUUUAGUUAUGCCAUUUUCUCCUCUGUUGGCUUUAAUAAUAUCUAGAUCAUGUGUCUUGAUUUCUGUAUUAAUUAUAGUAUUUUUAUUAUUUGUUGACUACCCUUGAGAUUCAGCUUUAUUUCUUUCCUUUUUUUUCUUUUUCUUUUCUUUCUUUCUUUCUUUUUUUUUUAAAUUAAACUGGGUCCCAAGCUCCACCAGGUGAGGGUCCAAUGAGGUUGUGCUGAGCUGACAUUAAUAUUUUCUUCAGCAGGACAGGAAGGAGUCAGUCCUGCACAAAUCUGAGCAUAUGCAGCCUGGCAAAGGGCACAGGAGUGCAGAUGCUGGGAGGCAGAAGUUGGUGUUGUCAGAGUGGAGGUUAGAAAGGAGGCUAGGAAGGCAGGAGAGAGUUGGGGAGGAGAGCAGAGAGGGAGAAGGAGGAGGGCCAGGGCCUGGGGCAGGAUGACAUUUUCAGCACUCUGCUACUAGUGCUGUAUGACCGUAUUUCCCCACACUUAGUGGCUUGACCCACAAACACUUACUGUCUCACAGUCCCAGGGAACCAGGAAUCCAGCAGCACUCAGCUGGGGGCUCCUACCAGAGUCUCUCAGGAGUUUGGGGCUUUUGUCAGCACCGAGGCAGGACUUGCUUCACUCAGAACCUGAGCUCACUUAGGGGUGUUAGCAGGGUUUAGUCCACAUCAAAGGCCUGAGUUCUUCUCUUCUGUUGUUGUCUCUCAGUGCUAGACCACAUGCAUGUGUCUGUGUCAUGACUCAACAUAGAGGCCUGUUCCCCAGUGUGAGGAUCUGAGAGAGAACACAGGUCAGAGUGAGCACAUGGCUGGGCACUGAGAUUUUAUAACCAAACCUUGGAAGGGGCUUUGGGUCCUGUUGCCAUCUUCUGUAGAAUAGAAGUGAAUCACUAAGUCUAGGCCACACUCCAGAGGAGAGAGUUACACAAAGACAUGUAUACAGGAGUUGGGGAUCUCAAGGAGCCACUGAGGGGAAAAGAUGAGGACCCUGACAGGGUCAGUGCCUUUUCCAGAAUCACAGGGACUGGUCAAAAGGCAGAACCAAGCAUGAAUCUAGCUCCAUGUCCUUAAAGUUGGGGUCCUGGCUGCACCCAGGCUUUCUGAGGGGGCUCUGGAAAAGGUUGUGUUAUUGUACCUGUACAGACAUGGAGAUGGUGUGGGGGUGAGGGUGAACAGGAGGGUGACAGGAGGCAUUCCAGCACAUUCUUGUCUGAGGAGGACCCCAGGUCAGGGCAACCCACUGAGUGCACCCCUGUCCACAUUGCACCCAGUGGAGAGGGAGAGAAUGGCAGAGCCUAGAGGUAAGGGUGGGUUCUGACCUUCUAGGCCAAAGCUCCAAUCCAUUCUGUCUGGUUUGCUUUGGAAAUUAGCGUAAGAUCUUGGGAAGCUUUUGCCCAUCCUUCCCAUCUUCUGGGCCUCCAGAAUGUGAACACUGGUAUACACACACACACACACACACACACACACACACACACACCAGUAAGGACGGUGGGGGGGGGAUCUGAGGAGCUGCAGGUUCAGAGGUGGUGAAGAGACGACGAAAAUACGGUUGGAAGCAUUUCCUAUGUGUGACACUACUCCUCCAGUUUCAUAGGUAUCAUCCCAAAUAUGCCUGAGGACAUCCCGAGGAAGUACAUGCUAGAAUAAUCUCCAUUGCACAGGAAGGACACAGACCAUCCCUGAGAGGCACAAUGGCUUAUCCAGGGUCAAAAUCAGAACUGCACACCACAGAUGGGACAGGAGUUGAGUGAUGAGAUCCUCUGCUCAACUUCCGUGAAGGACAGGAAUAUGCCCCACACCACCAACAGGAUGCAGCACCGAAGCGGCUCAGGGGUAAAAAUGCCUCAACCGUGAAUAAGAAUGAGACCAGUGUGGUGUGGACCAUCCAGGCAGGCUUGCUGGAUAAGCAAGUGUAGCACCCAGUGCCUGUCUUCCUGGGAGAGACCACCGCCCCCGCCCCCAUGUCUCCAUGUUCCUGGACAUGUACAGAACUUUUCCACUACUGAAAAGGUGCUGGAUCUGUUGAUUCCAAGGUAUGGAUGCAUCCUUCCUGAAAUGGGAUGAGGAUGGCAGACCCCUGGAGGAGCAGAAAAUGGCCAUCUUCUCCAUUCUGGGCACCUGGAUGGACCACUCCCCUGAGGAUUUUUUCCAACCUGCAGAAUUUCCCUGCCUGAAGAUGCUGCUGGCAUAUGUGGGGCUUAACAUGCUGGGCUCACACCUGGAGCACCAUACCUCUGUUUUCCUCUCAUAGCUGGGACACAUGGAGCCCAAUGAGCCAGAGGUUGAGGCUAUAGCACCCGUUCCGGAGCAGGAUCCAGAACCAACUCAAGAGCUAGCCCCAGCUCCCACUGUGGUGCCUGCUGCAGCUUCAGAGCCCGAGGUGGCUGAAGCCAUCACUCCUGCUGGAGCUCAGCAAUUAGGAAAAGCAGUGACCCUCCCUGCAGUUUCAGAGCCAGUGCAGGUGGUAGUUAUAGCUCUGAUUCACUGUCAGGAGCUGGAGGAACCACCUGCACCUUUGGCAGCCCUGGAGCAUGAGCAGGCUCCAGCCCCAGCUACUGGGGUUAUGGAAGGACUAGAACAACCACUUGCUACAGCUGAACAACCAGCCUCAGCUCCCAAGCAGUGGCUCAUGUCGGCUGCAGCCCCAAAGGAUGGCUUCCCCUCCUCUGUUGUUGCUUUUUUUUUGAAAUUUUUGUGUUUUUUAUUCAGAUAUGGAAUGGCUUAGUGUAUUUUGUUUUAUAAGUAAAGUAUAAAUUGAC